AUGCUCAUUCUGGGAAAGGAUCUGAAGACAAGAAGAAAUCUUGGGACUGGAAUUGAGCACGACGGCCUCUACUACCUUACCAAUGCCUCGUCUCCAUCUCCAUAUGCCCUCAGUAUGAUGAAUAGUUUGACCACUGAUGAAUUUCUACUGAUGCAUUAUAGACUAGGGCAUCUGUCAUUCCAAGCCCUUGGUCGCAUGUUUCCAUCUCAAGUUAAAAAUUAUUGUAAGGAGAAGCUUUUGUGUGAUGUGUGUGAACUGGCUAAACACACUAGAACCAAUUAUCCUAGUAGUAAUGAGAGAAGUAAGAUACCUUUUGAUGUGGUGCAUUCGGAUGUAUGGGGUCCAUCAGUUGUAACUGCCCUCACAGGGGAUAGAUAUUAUGUGACCUUCAUUGAUGGUUUUAGUAGGUGCACAUGGCUGUACCUCCUAAAGCAUAAAUCUGAAGUUCUCCCUACAUUCAAAGAUUUUUUUAAUAUGGUGCGUAACCAGUUUGGCAUGAAUGUGAAAAUAUUACGCUCCGAUAAUGAACAAAAUGGGGUGGCAGAGAGAAAGAAUAGACAUCUACUGGAAGUUGCUCGAGCUCUCAUGUUUAUGAUGAAUGUGCCAAAAUUCCUUUGGGGAGAAGCGGUCAAAACUGCUGCCUAUCUAAUAAACCGUAUGCCUUCUAGAGUUCUGGGCCAUAAGACUCCUAUCGAAUGUUUGUAUGGCUCUAACUCAUUUAUUGUGCCACCAAAAAUAUUUGGAUGUACCUGUUUUGUUCAUGAUUACAGGAGUUCAGCAGGAAAACUUGAUCCAAGAGCCGUCAAAUGUAUCUUUGUGGGCUAUUCUUCCACAAAAAAGGGAUAUCGGUGUUGGUCGCCUACUGAAAGGAGAUUCUUUGUGAGUAUGGAUGUUACCUUUCACGAAAAAGAACCAUUCUAUUCCUUAAAAGGGAAUGACAAUGGUACAGGCAACAAGGGGGAGAAUAUCAUAGGAGAGAGCAAUGAUAGGGGAACUGUAAUAAUACCUAUUGGGGAUAUCAUACGCUCAGAAGAUGAAAUCGAGGGGGAGGAAACUACCAAUACAAAUGUAGAAGGUGAUAAUACAUUAAUAUCUGAAGCGUAUGAAAAUCUUUCAGGUCAAGAGGAGAUGGAAACAGAAGAUGGGGAAGGUGUACCUCAGGAAGUUGAUGAACAAGUUGUGAAUCAAUCACAAGUACUAGAGGAGGCACCAACAAGUGAAGAAAUGGCCCAUGAUGAGGGUGAUGUUGAAGGUGUACUUCCUCUUUUAGGAGCUUUAUUGCAUCCUUGGAUUCCAUAUCAGUACCUAAAGAUUGGAAGGAUGCAGUGA
rnacentral:rRNA from 1 species